UACAGAGGUCCCAAGCGUUGUUCGGAUUCAUUGGGCGUAAAGGGUGUGUAGGUGGCGCCGUAAGUCGGGUGUGAAAUCUCGGGGCUUAACUCCGAAACUGCAUUCGAUACUGCGGUGCUUGAGGACUGGAGAGGAGACUGGAAUUCAUGGUGUAGCAGUGAAAUGCGUAGAGAUGCGGAGGAACACCGAUGGCGAGGGCAGCCCUCUGGGCUAACACUGACGCUGAGGCACGAAAGCGUGGGGAGCAAACAGG
rnacentral:rRNA from 1 species